rnacentral:rRNA from 1 species
CCUACGGGAGGCAGCAGUGGGGAAUAUUGCACAAUGGGCGAAAGCCUGAUGCAGCAACGCCGCGUGAGCGAUGAAGGCCUUCGGGUCGUAAAGCUCUGUCCUCAAGGAAGAUAAUGACGGUACUUGAGGAUGAAGCCCCGGCUAACUACGUGCCAGCAGCCGCGGUAAUACGUAGGUGGCUAGCGUUAUCCGGAAUUUCUGGGCGUAAAGGGUGCGUAGGUGGUUUCUUAAGUCAGGGGUGAAAGGCUAGGGCUCAACCGUAGUAAGCCUUUGACACUGGUGAACUUGAGUGCAGGAGAGGAAAGUGGAAUUCCUGGUGUAGCUGUGAAAUGCGUAGAGAUUAGGAAGAACACCAGUUGCGAAGGCGGCUCUCUGGACUGUAACUGACACUGAGGCACGAAAGCGUGGGGAGCAAACAGGAUUAGAUACCCGGGUAGUC